UCGGGAAUCGUCUAAUGGCAGGACAUCUGGUUCUGGUCCAGAGAGUCAGGGUUCGAAUCCUUGUUCCCGAA
rnacentral:tRNA from 1 species